AGAGCUGAAGAUGUCGUCCACAUCUCUGCUACCUAUCAAUGGAGGCCACCUUCUCUUCACUCAAGGCUCAUCCUUUCCCAAUUACCAUCCUUCUGCAACUCUCUACAAGUGGGGAUGGAAAAGGCAACAAGGUGGAAAUGUAGUUGCUUACAGAACCAAUGGCCAUGCUCUUCAAAUUUUGGCCAAUCCUAAUGUAUGCAUCAACUCAAGGAUUCCACAUGUAUAACACCAAUAUAUUUGGUUUGAAUAUGGUCAAAGAUUAUUUAGGUA